rnacentral:rRNA from 1 species
UACAGAGGUCUCAAGCGUUGUUCGGAUUCAUUGGGCGUAGAGGGCGCGUAGGUGGCGCGCUAAGUCGGGUGUGAAAUUUCGGAGCUUAACUCCGAAACUGCAUUCGAUACUGGCGUGCUUGAGGACUGGAGAGGAGACUGGAAUUUACGGUGUAGCAGUGAAAUGCGUAGAUAUCGUAAGGAAGACCAGUGGCGAAGGCGGGUCUCUGGACAGUUCCUGACACUGAGACACGAAGGCCAGGGGAGCAAACGGG